rnacentral:rRNA from 1 species
AGAUUGAACGCUGGCGGCAUGCCUUACACAUGCAAGUCGAACGGCAGCACGGGAGCAAUCCUGGUGGCGAGUGGCGAACGGGUGAGUAAUACAUCGGAACGUGCCCAAUCGUGGGGGAUAACGCAGCGAAAGCUGUGCUAAUACCGCAUAAGAUCUACGGAUGAAAGCAGGGGAUCGCAAGACCUUGCGCGAAUGGAGCGGCCGAUGGCAGAUUAGGUAGUUGGUGAGGUAAAGGCUCACCAAGCCUUCGAUCUGUAGCUGGUCUGAGAGGACGACCAGCCACACUGGGACUGAGACACGGCCCAGACUCCUAGGGAGGCAGCAGUGGGGAAUUUUGGACAAUGGGCGAAAGCCUGAUCCAGCCAUGCCGCGUGCAGGAUGAAGGCCUUGGUUGUAACUGCUUUGUACGAACGUAAAGUCGUACUUUCUAAUAAAGAGGAUACAUAGACGGUACCGUAAGAAUAAGACAACCGACUAACUACGUACG